rnacentral:rRNA from 1 species
CGUGCAGGCGGCUCGAUAAGUUGGAUGUGAAAGCUCCCGGCUCAACUGGGAGAGGACGUUCAAAACUGUCAGGCUAGAGGACGGUAGAGGAAGGUGGAAUUCCCGGUGUAGUGGUGAAAGGCGUAGAUAUCGGGAGGAACACCAGUGGCGAAGGCGGCCUUCUGGACCGUACCUGACGCUCAGACGCGAAAGCUAGGGGAGCGAACG